GCCUGGAUACCUCAGUUGGUUAGAGCCUGGGGCUGAGAAUGCCAAAGUUGCAGGUUCAAUCCCUGUACAGUCA